rnacentral:tRNA from 1 species
AGUCUUAUAGUCAAAAUGAUUCCAAAUUGCAAAUUUGGAGGUGGGAAUUCCCUAAGGCUU